rnacentral:rRNA from 1 species
GAUGAACGCUGGCGGCGUGCCUAAUACAUGCAAGUCGAGCGAACGGACGAGAAGCUUGCUUCUCUGAUGUUAGCGGCGGACGGGUGAGUAACACGUGGAUAACCUACCUAUAAGACUGGGAUAACUUCGGGAAACCGGAGCUAAUACCGGAUGAUAUUUUGAACCGCAUGGUUCAAAAGUGAAAGACGGUCUUGCUGUCACUUAUAGAUGGAUCCGCGCUGCAUUAGCUAGUUGGUAAGGUAACGGCUUACCAAGGCAACGAUGCAUAGCCGACCUGAGAGGGUGAUCGGCCACACUGGAACUGAGACACGGUCCAGACUCCUACGGGAGGCAGCAGUAGGGAAUCUUCCGCAAUGGGCGAAAGCCUGACGGAGCAACGCCGCGUGAGUGAUGAAGGUCUUCGGAUCGUAAAACUCUGUUAUUAGGGAAGUACAUAUGUGUAAGUAACUGUGCACAUCUUGACGGUACCUAAUCAGAAAGCCACGGCUAACUACGUG